rnacentral:rRNA from 1 species
AGAGUUUGAUCAUGGCUCAGGACGAACGUUGGCGGCGCGCUUAAUGCAUGCAAGUCGAACGAGAACCAGUGAGUUCGUAAGAACCCGCUGGGGACAGUGGCGAACGGGUGCGUAACACGUGAGAAACCUGCCCUGGAGACCGGGAUAGCGCGGGGAAACCCGCAUUAAUACCGGAUACCUUCACCGGACCGCAUGGUCUGAUGAAGAAAUGGUCCGCCGCUCCAGGAUGGUCUCGCGGCCUAUCAGCUUGUUGGUGAGGUAACGGCUCACCAAGGCAACGACGGGUAGCUGGUCUGAGAGGACGAUCAGCCACACUGGGACUGAGACACGGCCCAGACUCCUACGGGAGGCAGCAGCAGGGAAUAUUGCACAAUGGGCGAAAGCCUGAUGCAGCGACGCCGCGUGCGGGAUGAAGGCCUUCGGGUUGUAAACCGCUUUCAGGAGGGAAGAAAAUGACGGUACCUCCAGAAGAAGGCCCGGCCAACUACGUGCCAGCAGCCGCGGUAAUACGUAGGGGCCAAACGUUGUCCGGAAUUAUUGGGCGUAAAGAGCUCGUAGGCGGCUUGACAAGUCGGACGUGAAAACCCGGGGCUCAACCCCGGGACGCCGUUCGAAACUGUCAUGGCUAGGGUCCGGUAGAGGUGAGUGGAAUUCUAGGUGUAGCGGUGAAAUGCGCAGAUAUCUAGAGGAACACCAGUAGCGAAGGCGGCUCACUGGGCCGGUACCGACGCUGAGGAGCGAAAGCAUGGGGAGCAAACAGGAUUAGAUACCCUGGUAGUCCAUGCCGUAAACGUUGAACACUAGGUGUGGCGGACUUAUCCACGUCUGCUGUGCCGCAGCUAACGCAUUAAGUGUUCCGCCUGGGGAGUACGGCCGCAAGGCUAAAACUCAAAGGAAUUGACGGGGCCCCGCACAAGCGGCGGAGCAUGCGGCUUAAUUCGAUGCAACCCGAAGAACCUUACCUGGACUUGACAUCAUGGGUCUACCUGUAGAGAUACGGGGUGCUUUUGCGCCCAUGACAGGUGGUGCAUGGCUGUCGUC